CAACACAAUUAUCAAGCAGUGCCGCACCCUUGACUGACAGGGUGAGAAAACAUCUGCGGGGGAGUGAUACCCCCCCCCCCCAGCCCCACCCCCCAGACUGAUAGUCUCUGAUAAACAGACGGUCAGUGGAGAAUGUUGUUGAUUUUGUUUUUCUUUAGUCAUAAGAUGUUUUUUAAUAACUUUAGCUCACACUGAAAAUUUAGUUUCAACAUUUGAAGUAGUAUUUGUUCAUGUGUAGUAGUACAAUGUGGUAAUACACAUCAUAUAUACACAAUAAAUACUUCACUGUCUGUAUACAAAGACACUGUAGCAGUAAAACUGACGACGUUUAUCUGUUCACUUUAUUAACAUUAGGUUGAUACUAAUGUUAGAAAAAAUGUAAUAAUUGUUGUAAAAAAAAUAUUAUUUUCACUUGAAUUCUUUGUUUUGAUCCAUUUACAGAACAGAAUUAACUGCAUGACGACAGGUAUGAAAAUCACAAACUCACUGGAACAUGAAUCUACAGGACGACACCAGUGUGACUGACCAACCGUACACACACUUCUAAUGCUGGUAAUAAUCAUUUUCACAUGUACUCGUUAACUGGAUCGGGAAGGUCAAAGGUCACACAUCAUGGAAAGACACGCAGCACAGGAAGUGUCUCAAAUAAAAAACAGCUAACGUAAGAAAAGAAAAGUAGCAACAAGUGCAGCAGUAACUGUCACUUCAAAAGACGAAAAGACAGAGAAUCUGUGACGGAGAGAGAGAGAGAACUCUGAUCUGAACAUGAGUCAAAAAUCACAAAUCUAUUUCUCUACAAAUCCUUUAUUUAAGUCUAAACUCUUCUGAAAAUUCUGUUUCCAUCCAUGACUGCAGGUGUGAAGACUCCAAACUAAAAAAAAAAAUCCUCCCUGAACCCAGACUAUUCUGGGCCAGGCCUGUGUGUGUCAUCCAUGAUUCAAAUAUUUCAGCCUCCAGCUGUGAUUGGACCAUUCUGUUUGUCAUGUGCGCAGCAUGGACUGCCAUGACUCGUCCUCCAGGCACCAGGACGGAUCACACCUCUGAGACAGAGAUCACAAAGAGGAUCCCCCGGCCUGACACGCGGCUCUUUACGACCCCUCCAAUAAAGAAGUGACUCUUUGAUCAGGUCACAUGACACGCUGCAUGAAAACACUGAGCGCUCAUUCAUUAUGCCUGAGCAGUUCAGGGACUAAAGGUAAGUCAUUAGCAUUUCCCCGUGGCUGCCUUUGUUUUGUUACAGACCAGAACAACAGGACGUGUUAGUUUGGACGUUAGUUUGGAGGUUUUUCCAAACAAAUCCAAGGAAAACAAAGCCUCGUCAUUCACAGGCCUGUUCCCCUCAGCGCUCCGUCCAAUCACACACACACAUACACACACCCCCUCCAACAGGAGUGUGUGUUCAUUAUUACGCAGCAGCAGUUUCUCAGUAACUUCAACUGUUCACAAAGUCACAAUCAAGCUUCUCUGUAAUCAUCAGCCGUGCACCUCCAUGGCUCCACACGAGGUUAUCAGUCCGCCUGGAGGAUGUAGACUAAUGACCGGACUGGCCCUGGUCCAUCACUGAAACUGUGCCAGUGACACCACCCCCCCGCCCCUCCACUACCUCACAGAUGGCGUCGGUCCAAUCGCAGCCAAACGGACUAGUUUGUUAAACAUUUCACCCUCGUGGAACCGACAGAUGAGGAACUGUUGUACGUGUACGUGAUGACAUCACUGCUGUGACAUCACAGGCUCCUGCAGCAGGUGAGUGUUAGAUGAUAAGUAGAUUGGUGGUUCCUGUUUAAAUCUUCAUAUUUCAGGUGCAGCCCAGAGGAGAAGCUGUAGAGUCUGGUAGGAAAAUGUGCUCCAACAUUAUCAUCCUGGAUGUUGACACAGGGAAAGUCCUCCAGGCGGUGCUGAUAAGCCCCAGGGAUUCUGGGAAAUGAGCGGUGGCACCGAGAAGCUCUGAAGGCUCUGACCAGUUCAGGUGGAGUGACCCAGGAACAACAGGUCAAUGAGACACUAAAGAGAGCGUGCACCUCAGGUUUCAGCUCCACUUCAGUCUCAUUUACCUACAACACGGUGGCGGAGCGCAGCCUCAAACCAACAACCCCCUCAAGCAUCAUGAAUAUUUAAUCGUGAUGGGACGUUUCCCUCCUCCAGCCCUUCUGGGACAUUUAGACCUCCUUAAUCAUUAAUAUGAACUUGUUAGGCACUUUACAUAAUGAGCAAUGUGAAAAAAAAUAUGUCAGUGGAAGCUAAAAGGAGUAAAUACGCCUGCGUCCCGGCUGCCGGGGCUGAUGUUGGCGACCAGGGAGCCUCAUAAUCCCUGUCAGCUGCCUGGGCGCACACGGCCGUCCUCACAGGCAGCAUCAUGUGACGGAGUGCAUGUGAGCGGGCGAUAAGUCUACCUACAGACCCCCGGGGGGCAGCACAGGCAGCAGCCGCAGUCGGCUCUGAGACAAAGCUGACAUCCCAUAAUAACACAGACGCAGCACGGUGUGCUGGACCAACAGAUGUUGUUGUUCUGCUGCUGCUGCUGCAGGAGGCGCUAAUGUCAACUAAUAUCACCUGGUACAGACUGAUCACAGCGAUGAACGGUGAGGAGAGGAAGUUAAAGUGUCUGAUCCUGAACAAACACAGGUUCAGUUUAAAGAAAAAGAAUCUGAAUGAAACAUUCUCACCAGUCUGACUCAGCUGUGGCUCCAGUUAAAAAAAGACACACUGUAACUGUUGAAUACAUUUAUAUCAAGUGAGGAACGUUACUGUGAAAUGUUCCUGAAAUGACUGAAAUCCCCUGGACCUUUUUUUUUCUUGCAGGUGUUUGGACUGUCGUUCUCUCACCGUGGACCUGGGCUGUGAACCAGUGACCUUUUUGACAGAAUCACCUUUACUGGUCAGUGUAAAGUCAGUGUAAAUUUAGUGAAGAAGUUGGUUAAUGUAACAUCACGACGAUGUGUCCAAAUACUUUACUUUCAUCAAGGAUGAAACGACUGACUUAACAAAAUGACCAGAAAGUACUGACGUGAAGGAAUGUGAAAUCACUGAACCUGUUUAUGUUUAAUUUACUCCAAACAUUUGAAUGUUUUUAGCUAAACACACACAUCAACAAAGUCACUGUUUAACAACAGAAAGUGAUUUGAGUUGUACUCCAGUAUUGCAGUAUUACUGAGUAUUACUGAAGUCCUGGGACAAACACACCCAGCUAAUGAGUUGUUUCCCAGAAGAUCACAUGUUUCUUCAGACGAACCGGGGCUGCAUCAGUUGCUGAAGUCACACCACGUGACCCUGAGAAUCCACGGUGAGUCAAAGCAGAAGAACAAAUAAAAAAAAACUGUGCUGCGUUUAAUGUUAAUCUGCUCAAAUACGUGAAAAUGUAAAAAAAAAAAAAAGUUCAACACACACAGACUGACUGAAGAAGAACACCGUGAGGGUGAACCGAGGAUGGGGCUGCAACGAAUUCAUGUUACAGUGAAAACGAAUCAAAUUUUCUUCGAUUAAUCGCCUGUGUCUAUGACGAUACGCUCGAAUGUAGCCAACCGAGGAGAUGUAUAGUUUACAGUGAGAAGCAAAUGAAACAAGGAAAA